GCCUGGCUGGCUCUGUGUGUGGAGCACGCGACUCGUAAUCUCAGAGUCGUGAGUUCAAGCCUCACGUUGGGUG
rnacentral:tRNA from 1 species